rnacentral:tRNA from 1 species
GCAGGGGUCGCCUAGUCUGGUCAAGGGCGCCAGGCUUAGGACCUGGUGGCUUAGUGCCUUCGUGGGUUCAAAUCCCACCUCCCGCA